GAAUGCUGCUCAAAAUGGGAGGUAAAUCUCUUCUAAAGCUAAAUAUUGGCCAGAGACCGAUAGCGCACAAGUAGAGUGAUCGAAAGAUGAAAAGCACCUUGAAAAGGGGGUUAAACAGUACGUGAAAUUGUUGAAAGGGAAGCGCUCAUGACCAGACUUGUGCUGGGCAGCUCAUCCGGGGUUCUCCCCGGUGCAUUCUGCCCAGUUCAGGCCAGCAUCGAUUUUUGCUGGGGGAUAAGAACGGUAGGAACGUGGCCCUCCUUCGGGAGGGUGUUAUAGCCUACCGUACGAUACCCUAGCGGAGAUCGAGGUUCGCGCAUCUGCAAGGAUGCUGGCGUAAUGGUCAUCAGCGACCCGUCUUGAAACACGGACCAAGGAGUCGUCCAUUAGAGCGAGCGUUUGGGUGUAAAACCCGCACGCGUAAUGAAAGUGAAAUUAGGUGAGAGCUUCGGCGCAUCAUCGACCGAUCCUGAUGUUCUCGGAUGGAUUUGAGUAAGAGUUUUAACGGACGGACCCGAAAGACAGUGAACUAUGCUUGUAUAGGGUGAAGCCAGAGGAAACUCUGGUGGAGGCUCGCAGCGGUUCUGACGUGCAAAUCGAUCGUCAAAUAUGAGCAUGGGGGCGAAAGACUAAUCGAACUGUCUAGUAGCUGGUUACCGCCGAAGUUUCCCUCAGGAUAGCAGUGUUGACCUUCAGUUUUAUGAGGUAAAGCGAAUGAUUAGGGACUCGGGGGCGCUUUUUAGCCUUCAUCCAUUCUCAAACUUUAAAUAUGUAAGAAGCCCUUGUUACUUAGUUGAACGUGGGCAUUCGAAUGUAUCAACACUAGUGGGCCAUUUUUGGUAAGCAGAACUGGCGAUGCGGGAUGAACCGAACGCGGGGUUAAGGCGCCAGAGUGUACGCUCAUCAGACACCACAAAAGGCGUUAGU
rnacentral:rRNA from 1 species